rnacentral:rRNA from 2 species
UACGAAGGGGGCUAGCGUUGUUCGGAAUCACUGGGCGUAAAGCGUAUGUAGGCGGAUUGUUAAGUCAGGGGUGAAAUCCCGAGGCUCAACCUCGGAACUGCCUUUGAUACUGGCUUUCUUGAGUUCGGGAGAGGUGAGUGGAACUCCUAGUGUAGAGGUGAAAUUCGUAGAUAUUAGGAAGAACACCAGUGGCGAAGGCGGCUCACUGGCCCGAUACUGACGCUGAUGUACGAAAGCGUGGGGAGCAAACAGG